rnacentral:lncRNA from 12 species
AUGAAAAACAAAACAGAAGAGCAAAAAUAUCCCAAAGGCAGCACAGGAGUCAACGUCCCAGGAGAAAGCAGAAAUGUUUCUUUGGAACCUGUACAUUUCAGCUUGGUAAACAAGACUCAGAGAUUUGGACUCUGCCCCUUCCUCAAUGGUGGAAGAGAAGUAACAGUGAAGUUGGAGCAUUUCUGAUGAAGAUCGAAGAUACUAAGCAGGAUGCAUAAUAACAAAUAGAGAAAUGACAUUGAACUUUCCACAAAAUAAGUAAGUACAAAGUUUAUAAAAUUUAUAUAUAACAUCUAAAUAAAAUAUAAAAUUUAUAUAUAACCA